AGGCAAGAGGAGCUGAUGGGGAGCUGAUGAGCUAAUGUAUUACUGUGGCUCUUUGGCAAUGUACAUUGGUAAAUUUUGGCUCCCUCUCAGCCUCAGGUUGGCCAAUCCU